AACGAACGCUGGCGGCAGGCUUAACACAUGCAAGUCGAACGGGUGUAGCAAUACAUCAGUGGCAGACGGGUGAGUAACACGUGGGAACCUUCCUAGGGGUACGGAACAACUCAGGGAAACUUGAGCUAAUACCGUAUACGUCCGUGAGGAGAAAGAUUUAUCGCCCUUAGACGGGCCCGCGUCGGAUUAGGUAGUUGGUGGGGUAACGGCCUACCAAGCCUACGAUCCGUAGCUGAUCUUAGAGGAUGAUCAGCCACACUGGGACUGAGACACGGCCCAGACUCCUACGGGAGGCAGCAGUGGGGAAUCUUGGACAAUGGGCGCAAGCCUGAUCCAGCCAUGCCGCGUGAGUGAAGAAGGCCUUAGGGUUGUAAAGCUCUUUUACCAGGGACGAUAAUGACGGUACCUGGAGAAUAAGCCCCGGCAAACUUCGUGCCAGCCGCCGCGGUAAAAC
rnacentral:rRNA from 1 species